rnacentral:rRNA from 1 species
GACAGAGGAUGCAAGCGUUAUCCGGAAUGAUUGGGCGUAAAGCGUCUGUAGGUGGCUUUUUAAGUCCGCCGUCAAAUCCCAGGGCUCAACCCUGGACAGGCGGUGGAAACUACCAAGCUGGAGUACGGUAGGGGUAGAGGGAAUUUCCAGUGGAGCGGUGAAAUGCGUAGAUAUUGGAAAGACCACCGAUGGCGAAGGCACUCUACUGGGCCACUACUGACACUGAGAGACGAAAGCUAGGGGAGCGAAUGGG